UACGGAGGGUGCAAGCGUUAUCCGGAUUCACUGGGUUUAAAGGGUGCGUAGGCGGGCAAGUAAGUCCGUGGUGAAAUCUCUGAGCUUAACUCAGAAACUGCCGUGGAUACUAUUUGCCUUGAAUAUUGUGGAGGUGAGCGGAAUAUGUCAUGUAGCGGUGAAAUGCUUAGAUAUGACAUAGAACACCAAUUGCGAAGGCAGCUCACUACACAAUGAUUGACGCUGAGGCACGAAAGCGUGGGGAUCAAACAGG
rnacentral:rRNA from 1 species